UACGGAGGGUGCAAGCGUUGCUCGGAAUUAUUGGGCGUAAAGGGUAGGUAGGUGGUCUUAUUUGUCUGGGGUGAAAUCCUUGGGCUUAACCUAAGAAGUGCCCCAGAAACGGUAAGACUAGAGUCCUGGAGAGGGUCGUGGAAUUCCCGGUGUAGCGGUGAAAUGCGUAGAGAUCGGGAGGAACACCAGUGGCGAAGGCGGCUCGCUGGGCCGGUCCUGACGCUGAGACGCGAAGGCGUGGGGAGCGAACGGG
rnacentral:rRNA from 1 species